UCAUUGCUGGAACAAACGCCCUCACGGGUGCUACCCAGAAACCCCUUGUGAAUUAUACUUAAAAAACUGUUGCCUCGGCUUUUGGUUGGCUUCCUUUGGGAGUCCCUUCGCAAGAAGGAGCAGACCGGCCGGUGGCCCUAUAAACUCUUGUUUUUGUAACAUCAUCUGAGUAAAACAACUAAAUGAAUCAAAACUUUCAACAACGGAUCUCUUGGUUCUGGCAUCGAUGAAGAACGCAGCGAAAUGCGAUAAGUAAUGUGAAUUGCAGAAUUCAGUGAAUCAUCGAAUCUUUGAACGCACAUUGCGCCCGGUGGUAUUCCACCGGGCAUGCCUGUUCGAGCGUCAUUUCAACCCUCAAAGCCCUGGCUUUGGUGUUGGAGGAAUACCUGUUACAGGGUACCCUCUGAAAUUUAGUGGCGGGCUCGCUAGAAUUUUGAGCGUAGUAAUUUUACCUCGUUUUUAAAAGACUAGUGGGACUUUCUAGCCAUAAAACCCCCCCAACUUUCUGAAAUUUGACCU
rnacentral:rRNA from 1 species